rnacentral:rRNA from 1 species
AUGGUGUCUGUUCGUGCUCUACCUCGUAUUGAGGCUAUAUCAGACCACGCACCCAUUCUCUUAACUACUGGUUUGCCACGACCACAACAUAGACGCAAGUUCAAAUUUGAACUUGGGUGGUUGCUUUGGGGUGGCUUCCAAGAUAUGGUCAAGGAGGUGUGGGAGAAACCAGUGGUCGGGCAUACCCCAAUUCACAGAUGGAAUAACAAAAUGCGUGCAUUACGCAAAUUCCUUGGUGGUUGGGCUAGGCAUACGGUGCGUAUCCUCAAAAAGGAGAAGCUUCGUCUUUCAUCUAUCAUUGACGAGUUAGAAGCUUUGGCAGAGGUUAGACAUUUAUCUGAGCAUGAAAUCAAGAUCAAGAGUCAUUCGAAUGCACAGAGAGCUAGCAUGCUGCGUGAAGAGGAACUCAAAUGGUACCAGCAUUCCAACUCUCAGUUUAUCCUGAAAGGUGAUUCGAAUACUAGAUAUUUCCAUGGAGUCGUCAAUGGUAGACACCGGAAGAAAAUUAUUCAUUCCCUACAACAGGACGAGGGCACGAUUGAGGGGCAUGAGCAACUUAAAUCCUACAUCACUAAUUAUUAUAAAAAUCUGUUCGGAGCCCCAGAGGAAGAAAACUUCUCGAUGGAUGAGUCCCGAACAGAUGACAUCCCCCAGGUCUCUAAUGAGGAAAAUGGACUUCUAACAGCCCCGUACACCGAGGAGGAAGUUAGAAAUGCAGUUUUCUUAAUGGAGCACAACAAAGCCCCAGGUCCGGAUGGUUUUCCCGCUGAGUUCUAUCAGAACUUCUGGGAAGUCAUCAAACCGGAUCUCCUACUUUUGUUUAGUGACCUACAUGCUGGCCAACUAGAAUUGUUUUGCUUAAACUUCGAUGAGAUUAUUUUAUUACCUAAGGUUAAUGAGGCUGAAAGGAUACAACAAUAUAGACCUAUUUGCCUUCUUAAUGUUAGUUUCAAAAUAUUUACGAAGGUUGCGACGAUCAGGCUAAAUACGGUUGCUGAACACGUGGUUCGUCCUUCACAGACUGCUUUUAUGCAAGGGAGACACAUCCUAGAUGGAGUUGUUAUCCUUCAUAAAACAAUUCAUGAAUUACAUCAAAAAAAGUUGAAUGGAGUGGUACUCAAAUUAGACUUUGAAAAAGCUUAUGACGAAGUCAAAUGGCCAUUUCUUCAUAAGACUCUCAGAAUGAAAGGAUUUUCUGCAGAGUGGUGCACUAUGAUCCAUAACUUCGUUUCUGGAGGUAGUGUUGCCAUUAAGGUCAAUGAUGACAUUGGACACUAUUUCCAAACGAAAAAGGGGUUGCGACAAGGUGACUCCAUAUCGCCCAUGCUAUUCAAUAUAGUGGCGGAUAUGCUAGCGGUCAUGAUUGAGCGUGCCAAGGUUGAUGGCCAAAUUGAUGGGGUAGUAAAUCAUCUAGCUGAUGGUGGUCUCUCUAUACUUCAAUAUGCCAACGAUACGAUUCUCUUCAUGGAUCAUGACCUCGAGAAAGCGAGAAAUUUGAAAUUAAUUUUAUCCGCAUUCGAGCAACUCUCAGGUCUUAAGAUCAAUUUUCACAAAAGUGAAUUGUUUUGUUUUGGCGAGGCUCAAGGCGACUCCCACCUAUACGCCAAACUAUUCGAAUGCGGGUUGGGCUAG